rnacentral:rRNA from 1 species
GCACGCCCGGUCGGGUCUGGCUCUUUUGAUUUCACACACCUGUGCACCUUCGGGCUGCCCGCCCUCCACUUGUCUUUGCUUCGGCGAAGGUUUACGAGCGCUGCGAAACGACGCAAGUCGACUUGCUCGCUCCGGGGAGGUGAUUUCGGGCAUGUCUCGUUUUUUUCUUUACACCUUUUUGUAUGUCCAUGAAUGUUAACUCGGUUGCCCUGUGAUGGGGUGGUCGAUAAAAUUUAAAUACAACUUUCAGCAACGGAUCUCUUGGCUCUCCCAUCGAUGAAGAACGCAGCGAACUGCGAUACGUAAUGUGAAUUGCAGAAUUCAGUGAAUCAUCGAAUCUUUGAACGCACCUUGCGCCACUCGGUUUUCCGAGGGGCACGUCUGUUUGAGUGUCACGUUACUCUCUCACUUACCUUCGGGUGUUAGUGGACUUGGACCGCGCUGUCUUCUGUGGACGGCUCGUCUCGAAAUGUAUCGUGCCAGCGGAGCCUUGCGUGGAACGGCCCGACGAAACGGUGUGAUAUUUACUAUCUGCGCUGGAAUAGUCGGAUUCGUGCUGCUGCACCAGUCGAGCUCUGGGCUUAUAAUGAGCAACGUGGGCUUUGCCGCCGACGACCUCUCUUUAAGCGUUUGACCUCAAAUCAGAUGGGACUACCCGCUGAACUUAAGCAUAUCAAUAAGCGGAGGA